ACUCUGGGAUAACUCCGGGAAACCGGGGCUAAUACCGGAUAUGAGCCUUGAUCGCAUGAUCGGGGCUGGAAAGUUUUUCGGUUGAAGAUGACUUCGCGGCCUAUCAGCUUGUUGGUGAGGUAAUGGCUCACCAAGGCGACGACGGGUAGCCGGCCUGAGAGGGCGACCGGCCACACUGGGACUGAGACACGGCCCAGACUCCUACGGGAGGCAGCAGUGGG
rnacentral:rRNA from 1 species